AGCACCUGUGCUAACACAUAUACAUUUGCAGAAAUCAAGGAGGAAGUCCACUGCCCCUUACUGGCUUUGUAAAGCCUCAGAAGAUAGUUCAGAUUUCAAAGAGCAUCUAAUAGCUUAUAGGCAGAGAGAGUUAAGAGCCACAAUGCCAGAUAUCUUGCAGUUGGGUGAAAAAAAAAAAAGGGGGGAGGACAUUAAUUAGCUCCUUUUACUUAUGGUAUGAUAUUUUGUUACAGAAAAUAAUAUACAUUCCCACACACUAACCAACAGGGACUAAACAACCUACUUCCACUAACUCCAAUGUACUCUGUAUGUACGCUUCUGAGUACCCUGGGAGAGCAUAGCUGGCUUUCUCCAGUAAUCCGCCCUGCUAGCAGGUGCUGCAAAUCUAGAGGCAGAUGUUAAUUGAUUCAUACUGACGGCUCUGGCAGGUUCAGCUCAUUAGCCUACCCUGACUGGAACUGCAGUCGAGUGUCUGUCUCCCUGUGCAGAGGAAUGGGGGGGAGGGAGGGUUAAGUACCCCUGGUGUGUUAAUAAGACUCUGUCCUCGAAGGCAGAGUCUUUGAAGCACCUGCUGCCUUCUUACGGCUUUGGCUUGUAGCGUGACUGGGGAAAGACUGAAAUAUGAGCAGUAUGCAGUGGGAAAGCAGGUCUGAUUACCUUGGAAGUAUGAGGGAAACAUGAUUUAUUUCAAAUUCUGUUUGGUGUCUCCCCCAUCUUUAAAAGAAGUCCAUGGUGUCAGCUACAUUACAGACUUGUGUUUUUUUGUUUGUUUGUUUUUGUUCAGACCCCAGAUUUCACAUUCAUUUUCUGGCUAUGAAUGUGAUACCUGGUGGUGAUGAAGCCUAUAUGUGAAUUCAUGCUAUGGUGCAAUCCUGUGUUAGCCUAAAUAGCCCUGUGGCAAGACUUUGGGAAUGUUACAGCUGACUUCAUUAGCUGCAACAUCGGUGGAACUAGUUCUCAAUGACCUUUAUUCACCACUGCUUAGGUAAGUAAGUACAAGGGCCAUUCCCAGCUGUUCUGUUGGGACUUAGUUUCCAAUGAAGAAUAAUAAAGAAACCUGGUAGCUGUAUGUCUGAAGUGAU
rnacentral:lncRNA from 1 species